AACGAACGCUGGCGGCGUGCCUAACACAUGCAAGUCGAGCGCGAAAAGGGCAACCUGAGUAGAGCGGCGCACGGGUGCGUAACACGUGGGUAAUCUGCCUUAGAGUCGAGGAUAACCUUCCGAAAGGUUGGCUAAUACUCGGUAAGCUUACGGUGUCUUCGGACGCUGUGGGAAAAGUAGGCCUCUGUUUACAAGCUUACGCUCUGAGAUGAGCCCGCGGCCCAUCAGCUAGUUGGCGGUGUAACGGACCACCAAGGCAACGACGGGUAGCUGGUCUGAGAGGACGAUCAGCCACACUGGAACUGAGACACGGUCCAGACUCCUACGGGAGGCAGCAGUGGGGAAUUUUGGACAAUGGGCGAAAGCCUGAUCCAGCCAUGCCGCGUGAGUGAAGAAGGCCUUCGGGUUGUAAAGCUCUUUCGGCUGAAAAGAAAUCGCACAGGCUAAUACCUUGUGUGGAUGACGGUAUCAGCAUAAGAAGCACCGGCUAACUACGUGCCAGCCGCCGCGGUAA
rnacentral:rRNA from 1 species